rnacentral:snRNA from 1 species
GUGCUCGUUUCGGCAGCACGCAUAUACUGAAUUUGGAAGGUACGGAGAAGAUUAACAUGGUCACUGCACACAGAUGACACACAAAUUCGUGAAGCGUUCCAUAUUUAA